rnacentral:rRNA from 1 species
CCCUUAGAUGUCCUGGGCUGCACGCGCGCUACACUGGAAGUUACGGAUUGAGAUACUACCUUGUCCGAAAUGGUCCGGGUAAUCACCUAAAAGCUUGUCAUAAUUGGAAUGGAUUAUUGUAACUAGUAAUCCUGAACGAGGAAUUCCUAGUAAGUCCCAGUCAACAGCUGGUACUGAUUACGUCCCUGCCCUUUGUGCACACCGCCCGUCGCUACUACUGAUUGGACGUUUAAGCAAGAUUUUUAAACACUGACAGUGUGUAGUUCACGCUAUACUACAGUGAGAAGAAGAAGAUCGAGCUUACUUGUCUAGAGGAAGUAAAAGUCGUAACA